AUGGAGUCACACGCUAGUAUGUACUUUUCACUCACCGACCAUGUCCUUCCCUCCGCAUAAAUAUUGUACCUUUAUGGCAAUAAAUAAAACCUCAAAUUAAUCAUAAAUAGGGCUUGAAGCUUGUUUCAGGAGGAGGGGGAAAACUUUGGGGAAAAUUUACCUGUGAGUGCAUUGAUUUUCUAGCUUUGUAUUCUUGAAAUUUUGUUGGAUCUCCUUAUCCCAACUCUGCGGGAGAAACAAAAUGCCUUGGGUUUGAAUUGGAUCCUCUUUCUUCAUAGAUAUGCAUGUAAUUAAUUGGACUACAGUGGUUGAAGCUAUACCAGGGAAUAUAUAUGAGCAUACGCAUCAUGCUGAUGUGAAGCAUUGCACUUGAGGAGUUUAUUCCUUAUAGGAGACGUAGUAGGGUUACCCUUCCAAAAAGCGUAAGUACGACAUGCAUGAUUGCAUCAAUAUAAUUUAAAGUGGCAAAAAAUUCAGAAGUUUUACCAACCCCAGAAGCUCCAGUCGGGAAACACGAUGUCAAAGGUUGUGUCAUCCCCACAAUAAUGAAACAAUGGAGGUGGCACCAGUGUUGGCAUUCUCGGAUGUGAUCCCAGAUAGUCUCUUUUAUUGACCUUACUCAGAUCCCCGCAGUGAAACAAGAGCUCCAGAUCUGGAACCUUGCCGGGGUACAUCUUCAGGAGCUGUGAUAUUCCCCAUAACGUGAACACGUCCCUUGUUUGGAACGACCUUCUGUAAGUCUCCACGUAGGCUUUUCCCUUGUGAAUCACCAGCCUAAAGUCUGCCAGGCUCUUCCCUAAUUCCACCAUGUCCCUUGUGAUCCCUGUCCUCUUCCACGGCUUCAAGUCCUCGUGGAUCCAUCGGAAGUACUCGGGGCAUGUCAAGGACUCAGACAAAGAUGGUGAUGCUGAUGGGGACGGGGACGGCCAUGGCGACGGAGACGGAGACGGAGACGGAGACGACAAAUCUUCAUUGAAACAGUUGAGUCGCGGAGAGGUCUUUUGGUUCGUGAGAAAAGACAAGCUUGUGAUUUUAGACUGAAACACAAGAAUCGAAGACUAUAUUAUUGUCAUGUGUGCACGUGUAAGGUAAGUAACUAUAUGAAAAAAAAAAAUAAAUGUCCUAACUCUAA